AUUGAACGCUGGCGGCAGGCCUAACACAUGCAAGUCGAACGGUAACAGGAAGAAGCUUGCUUCUUUGCUGACGAGUGGCGGACGGGUGAGUAAUGUCUGGGAAACUGCCUGAUGGAGGGGGAUAACUACUGGAAACGGUAGCUAAUGCCGCAUAAUGUCGCAAGACCAAAGAGGGGGACCUUCGGGCCUCUUGCCAUCGGAUGUGCCCAGAUGGGAUUAGCUAGUAGGUGGGGUAACGGCUCACCUAGGCGACGAUCCCUAGCUGGUCUGAGAGGAUGACCAGCCACACUGGAACUGAGACACGGUCCAGACUCCUACGGGAGGCAGCAGUGGGGAAUAUUGCACAAUGGGCGCAAGCCUGAUGCAGCUAUGCCGCGUGUAUGAAGAAGGCCUUCGGGUUGUAAAGUACUUUCAGCGGGGAGGAAGGGAGUAAAGUUAAUACCUUUGCUCAUUGACGUUACCCGCAGAAGAAGCACCGGCUAACUCCGUG
rnacentral:rRNA from 1 species